AAAAAAUCAAGAAAGACGUGUUCCUUCAAGCUCUACUGAUUAACCCCUUCCGCUCUCCUCAGCUUGUUUACAUUAAAAGUGGGGUCAUCUGGACCCCUCAAGAAAGUGCGCUGAACUUUUUUUUUAUCUUUGAUUUUUGAGUUUCACUAAUGUCCAUGGCAGACAUAAAAUCCUGUCCACCUUUGUCCACAUUUGUCAUGGAAGGAAUCAGACAUCAAUAUAUAGUUGGAGUCAUCUGAACCCCAAAGAGAGUGAAAGGGUUAAAAAACUCAGCAGCUGUUUGACCCUGAGAUUUUUCGACAAAACUAUUUCACUUCAAGUGUUCCAGACUGUUGUUUAUAACCAGGAGAGUGGGAAAGAUACGAGACAUCUCAUGGGAAAAUAGUUUGAGCCACAAUCGAAAACACAAUUCCCCUGGAGAAGUGACAGUAAUAGAAAGAUCCAAAGACUCAUUCGAGUGUGCAGCUGAAGCCAACCCGAAUGCAACUUUUGCCUGGACUAGGGGUGGCCUGUCUCCUCCGGAGUCCGUCAUAGUGGAGAAAGGAAGACUGCAGUUUCCGAGCAGGAACAGCGACCUUUCCGGCCUUUAUCAGUGUGAAGCAGAAAACACGGUUGGAAAAGCAAAGACAUCCGUCUUUGUGCAUUUCUCUUCAGAACCCGCAGUUGCAUGUUGGGUUGUUCUUGCUCUGGUAUUUGUCCUACUUAUGGUUGCUGCUGCAUUUGUGUACUUUUGGCGAUCUGGUAAAUUUUCAGUGUUGAGGGAACACACACCUUUGAGGAAAGAAGUUCAAUCCAAUAAUAUUUCAGGAGAAAUCGAGUUCUCCCACCAAGAAAAAGCAGGAUCCGUCUAA
rnacentral:lncRNA from 1 species